GUGGGGAAUAUUGGACAAUGGGGGGAACCCUGAUCCAGCCAUGCCGCGUGUGUGAAGAAGGCCUUUUGGUUGUAAAGCACUUUAAGCGAGGAGGAGGCUACCGAGAUUAAUACUCUUGGAUAGUGGACGUUACUCGCAGAAUAAGCACCGGCUAACUCUGUGCCAGCAGCCGCGGUAAUACAGAGGGUGCAAGCGUUAAUCGGAUUUACUGGGAGUAAAGCGCGCGUAGGUGGCCAAUUAAGUCAAAUGUGAAAUCCCCGAGCUUAACUUGGGAAUUGCAUUCGAUACUGGUUGGCUAGAGUAUGGGAGAGGAUGGUAGAAUUCCAGGUGUAGCGGUGAAAUGCGUAGAGAUCUGGAGGAAUACCGAUGGCGAAGGCAGCCAUCUGGCCUAAUACUGACACUGAGGUGCGAAAGCAUGGGGAGCAAACAGGAUUAGAAACCCGGGUAGUCC
rnacentral:rRNA from 1 species